CCUGAGAAUCUUACUGAUCUUGGUAAUAACUGAUAAUUGCAUGGUUUUGAAAAGUGUUUUUAAAAAACUAGCUACCCAUUAGGAGUGAAAACAAUGUAGUGAGUUGCAAUCAGCAUAUAAAAAAUUAAAUACAAUAGUAAUAUACCAAGUGACUCCCAAGUAGUAAGGAUGUAGAGCUGGAAGAAACCUUAGGAAUGCUUUCAAUUUUUGCAGAUGAGGAAAGAAGCUCAAGACUUGCCCACAGCCAAAUGAACCUCAUGGGAGAGUCUGGAUUAGUUCAGAGACCUCACCUUUCAGGCAUACCUUUCCAUUUAACUUCUGAGUCUUGGUUUUCUUAUCUGUAAAUAGGGUUAUUAAAGUUAUACCUUCUUU
rnacentral:antisense_RNA from 1 species